rnacentral:rRNA from 1 species
AGUGAACGCUGGCGGCAGGCCUAAUACAUGCAAGUCGAACGGCAGCACAGCAGAGCUUGCUCUGUGGGUGGCGAGUGGCGGACGGGUGAGGAAUACGUGGGAAUCUGCCCAGUCGUGGGGGAUAACGUAGGGAAACUUACGCUAAUACCGCAUGCGCCCUUCGGGGGAAAGCCGGGGACCUUCGGGCCUGGCGCGAUUGGAUGAGCCCACGUCGGAUUAGCGAGUUGGCGGGGUAAAGGCCCACCAAGGCGACGAUCCGUAGCUGGUCUGAGAGGAUGGUCAGCCACACUGGAACUGAGACACGGUCCAGACUCCUACGGGAGGCAGCAGUAGGGAAUAUUGGACAAUGGGCGCAAGCCUGAUCCAGCCAUGCCGCGUGAGUGAAGAAGGCCCUCGGGUUGUAAAGCUCUUUUGUCCGGAAAGAAAAGCGCCGGGUUAAUACCCUGGUGUCCUGACGGUACCGGAAGAAUAAGCACCGGCUAACUUCGUGCCAGCCGCCGCCGUAACAC